UUCUUCGCGAGCGGGCGGCCGGUCGAUUCUAACGCGAGCGCCGACCGGGCGGCGGGGUUGGCUCUGCAUCGGCGUCUACCCUCCCCUCGGGCAGCCUCGUAGAAAGUGACUGACCAGCCUCGGGCAGGCACCCUCCCCCUAGGGCACCUCAGCGUCGCAGUCGCCUCCUUUUAUUUGUGGCGGCGCGCGCAUCGCUCCCCCAUCCGUAUCGCUCUCGUUGUCAGCCGGAGAACCAACAAGCCCACCUUCGAAUCUAUAUUCGAACGGGGGGAAAAGAUAGCGACGGAUUUCCCUCUGGAUCCGGUGAGCAGUCUACCAAUCUGUGAUGCAUGCCCAGCGGAGGUAGCCGUCUUGAGCUUGCAUGGGGACGACUCUGCCAGCAGCUACGCUGGCCCCGCGGCGGCCGGUGCAUCGGUGAUUGGGGAUCUCGCAGACGGAGCUAGUGUCGGAGAUGUCGGCAGCGUGAUGGCCCUGAUUCCGCGCAGUCAACCGGUAUCGACAAUCCCCAGUCUGCUGGGUGGACGAAGAGGCAACAGGUACAGCUCAAUUUCACCUUACUUGAUCAGGGAGGAAUGCGAGCACUUGAUCAGAUAACAUUCAGUCAACAGCUACAGCUCGAUUUCACCACUUGAUCACGAAGGGCGUCGAGCACUUGAUUAGAGAGGACGGUGAGCACUUGAUUAGAGAGGACGACGGGCACUUGUUCUAGGACAAAGGCGACACACGAGAUGACCAGGUCGAGGAGAAGCAGAGGCCCCGCGGUGGCGCGCUGUCGAGGAGGAGCUGCUCAGCGGAGCAGCGUCGCAGCCGAUGAGCGAACGGAGAAGUGGAGCAGAAGAGGACCGGCAGCGCGUCGAGCUCGAGCGCGGCCCCGCGAGCAGGCCAGGAGCGCUGGCGUGGAUCAAAGAGCAGGCUGGCGGCGAGCGAGGCCAGUGCGUGGAGCAGCGAGGCCUGCCGGCGGCGCAGUGGUGAGCCGAGCAGAGGACGGUGGGACAGAUGGAAUAUAAAUCACGAUGUACAAUUGCUGGUGUCAUGUGCUGCAGGGAAAGCCAACGUGCGUGUGUCAUCCGGACCGAGUGACUCAGAAUCAUGAGUUCACUGAGACAAUGUGGUUAGUCCAGCACGGUCCAGUUCGUCGGUUCUCCGCUUGGACCGAGUACGGGACAACGGCUAGAUGGGCAUUAAUGUGGUCAAUGUGUGGGUCAGGUUACUGUUUAAUAAUAGACAUACGUGCUGGAAUACUGCACACUAUACUCUGUGAGGCCCAUAUCCCAAGGAAACUGAAUGGUCUAGAUAAAGGGAUCAUCUGGACCCGAGUUUCGUUUUGAA